AAAAAAUUCUGUGCAUCUUGCACUCACAGUAACGAUGUGACGAUCAAGCCUUGACGAACAUUUUCUGAUGGUAUGAUGUUUGCUUUGAUUCAUGUUACUAACAUAUUUUGUAAAGAAAAUAAAAACAGGAACUAAACUAAAUUUCUUAUUAAGUGGUCUGACGGAUACAAACUACAAGAAACUGAAUGUUCUGUACGGUAAAUACAAGGAACAAGGUUUUUGAUCGAUAUAUUCAAAAUCUAGUUUUCUUUUUAAGUUAAUUGUUUUUCAAUUUAACUGAAAUAGAAAAACAACAGAGAACAAAAUAACAGGGUUGGAGAUAUAUAGCGUUUCCAUGCAAUCAGUUCUUAGGACAAGAACCGGGAAACAAUGAAGAGAUUCAAAAAACUGUGCACAAUGUUCCAUAUCUAAAGCUGUAGUUUACAAAAAAAAAAUGUUCAAAGCUGAAUCCCCAUCUUUGACAAGGUGCUUAAUUCUUCUUUCUUUAAUUUAAUCAGAUUUAAUUACGUUCAACCUCUUCCUACUAAUCACAAUCCUUGUACGAUACUUUUCAUCUAAGACUAAUUCUAGUCAAAAAAUGUAAACCAAAAAAGUAACGUUUCUUCUUUGUUUCUCUAUUACUAAAAUACAAAUGAGUAGUUAGAUAUCUUUUAGAUAUCGGUUUCUUACCAUAUAUACCUACUAGUUUUCUGAAAAGUAAUAGCCAAAAUUAUCGACGUUCCAUGGCAAGAUUUUGAACAAACAUGUGUUACGAAAAAAAUAAUUUUAUACUAAUAGUGAUUAUGUGGAUUAGUGAUAAAUAUUUUAGUUCUCUUCUAUAAAAAAAGAUACUUGACGACAACGUAGGUGGAUGUGAACGGAAAGAACACGGCGCCGUUAUACAAAUAUUUGAAAGCAGAGAAAGGAGGUUUGCUCAUUGACGCAAUCAAAUGGAACUUCACAAAGUUCUUGAUUUCUCCUCAAGGCAAAGUCUUCCAGAGAUACUCUCCUCGAACAUCUCCUUUUUAAUUCGAGAAAGACAUUCAAACUCUUUUGGGACAGGCUUCUUCUUAAAACCAUCAUAUGAACUAUGAAGUUUCAAGAACGAGUUUAUCUAUUAUCCACAAUAUUGCAAAACAUGUGUUCUCUGAAUCUUGUUUUAAAUAAAAUGUUGUCUUCUCAUUGUUGACAUGUCGGUUUCAUGGAUGAAAAGAUCAUUUUUCUU